AACCUGCGGAGGAUCAUUACCGAGCGAGGGGCUUCGCGCUCCGGGGGGUUUCGGCCCCCGCCGCUUCACCCACUGUCUAUCUACCUUUGUUGCUUUGGCGGGCCAUGGGGUUCGACCCGCGCCGGCCCCCGGGCUAGUGAGCGCCCGUCAGAGGCCCAAUAUUCUCCGUUAAUCAGUGACGUCCGAGUAAAAACACAAUAGUAAAAACUUCCAACAACGGAUCUCUUGGUUCCAGCAUCGAUGAAGAACGCAGCGAAAUGCGAUAACUAAUGUGAAUUGCAGAAUUUAGUGAAUCAUCGAGUCUUUGAACGCACAUUGCGCCCCUCGGUAUUCCGGGGGGCAUGCCUGUUCGAGCGUCAUUAACCCCCUCAAGCGUAGCUUGGUAUUGGGUCCAUCGCCCCUGGGGCGUGCCCGAAAAGCAGUGGCGAGCCGAGUCACUUCAGGCGAAGUAAAUUUCAUCCCGCCUUGCAAGUGUGCCCCGUGGCUUGUCAGACAACCCCAUAUAUUUCAAUCAUGGACCUCGGAUCAGGUAGGGAUACCCGCUGAACUUAAGCAUAUC
rnacentral:rRNA from 1 species